rnacentral:rRNA from 1 species
GAUGAACGCUAGCUACAGGCUUAACACAUGCAAGUCGAGGGGCAGCGGGGGUAGCAAUACCCGCCGGCGACCGGCGCACGGGUGAGUAACGCGUAUGCAACUUGCCUAUCAGAGGGGGAUAACCCGGCGAAAGUCGGACUAAUACCGCAUGAAGCAGGGGUCCCGCAUGGGGAUAUUUGCUAAAGAUUCAUCGCUGAUAGAUAGGCAUGCGUUCCAUUAGGCAGUUGGCGGGGUAACGGCCCACCAAACCGACGAUGGAUAGGGGUUCUGAGAGGAAGGUCCCCCACAUUGGUACUGAGACACGGACCAA